AUGUAACUGCUAAGAUAUCAGCUAAAAUUUGUUAGGAAUUGACAGAAUUGUUAAGAAUUUUGUCUCUGCUACACUGGAAUGGACAUAAGUGACUGACGAGUUUAGAGACAUCUCCCUGAUUUACAGGAACUGGAAGCUGGGCUGGUUGAAGAUUGAUGCUGUCCUGAUAAUGAGUGAAUGACAACAGGACAAUCUGCCUGGGACUCCAACAGUGAACACAGAAAAGGAGUGCUGCAACGUAUGUCAACAGAAGAGCAAGGCCCAGCAGGGAUACCUUCUGCAUGUUGGAGAAGGACCCCAGGGAAAGGGCCUGAUGCACUGCUCACACUUCCCUUAGGUGUGGCUGAUGUUCCUCACUUUUCCCUGAGAUUUUUGCAGAAGUUCCUGUGAUGGUUGACAACUACCAUUUGCUUCUCCGGAUAAGCACCAUAGGCAGAAAAAAAUAAGUACUCUGGAUCCCUGAAUUCUGA
rnacentral:lncRNA from 1 species